AGAGGGGUGUCCGAGUGGUCGAAGGAGCACGCCUGGAAAGUGUGUAUGGGCCAAAAGCUCAUCGUGGGUUCGAAUCCCAUCCCCUCUA
rnacentral:tRNA from 3 species